rnacentral:rRNA from 1 species
CAGUCGCCGCGGGAAUACGGAGGGGGCUAGCGUUGUUCGGAAUUACUGGGCGUAAAGCGCACGUAGGCGGCUUGGUAAGUUAGAGGUGAAAACCUGAGCUCAACUCCAGAAUUGCCUUUAAGACUGCCGAGCUAGCAGGUGAGAGAGGUAAGUGGAAUUCCGAGUGUAGAGGUGAAAUUCGUAGAUAUUCGGAAGAACACCGGUGGCGAAGGCGGCUUACUGGCUCAUACUGGACGCUGAGGUGCGAAAGCGUGGGGAGCAAACAGGAUUAGAUACCCCCGUAGUCCCUGUCUCUUAUACA